UUAGCUUUUGAGUUUGUGAGGGCAUC
rnacentral:piRNA from 1 species